rnacentral:rRNA from 1 species
GGGGAAUUUUCCGCAAUGGGCGAAAGCCUGACGCAGCCAUGCCGCGUGGAUGAUGAAGGUCUUAGGAUUGUAAAAUCCUUUCACCGGUGAAGAUAAUGACUGUACCCGGAGAAGAAGCCCCGGCUAACUUCGUGCCAGCAGCCGCGGUAAUACGAAGGGGGCUAGCGUUGCUCGGAAUUACUGGGCGUAAAGGGCGCGUAGGCGGACAUUUAAGUCAGGGGUGAAAUCCCAGAGCUCAACUCUGGAACUGCCUUUGAUACUGGAUGUCUUGAGUGUGAGAGAGGUAUGUGGAACUCCGAGUGUAGAGGUGAAAUUCGUAUAUAUUCGGAAGAACACCAGUGGCGAAGGCGACAUACUGGCUCAUUACUGACGCUGAGGCGCGAAAGCGUGGGGAGCAAACGGGAUUAAAUACCCCUGUAGUC